rnacentral:rRNA from 1 species
CUACGGGUGGCUGCAGUGAGGAAUUUUGCGCAAUGGGCGAAAGCCUGACGCAGCAACGCCGCGUGAGUGAUGAAGGCCUUCGGGUCGUAAAGCCCUGUCAAGUGGGAAGAACCUAUGUAAUGUUAAUAUCAUUAUAUACUGACGGUACCACUGAAGGAAGCACCGGCUAACUCCGUGCCAGCAGCCGCGGUAAUACGGGGGGUGCAAGCGUUAUUCGGAAUCAUUGGGCGUAAAGGGCACGUAGGCGGCCUGGUAAGUCAAAUGUGAAAGCCCGGGGCUUAACCCCGGAAGUGCAUUUGUACUGUCAGGCUUGAGUAUGGGAGAGGGAAGUGGAAUUCCUGGUGUAGAGGUGAAAUUCGUAGAUAUCAGGAGGAACACCGGUGGCGAAGGCGACUUCCUGGACCAAUACUGACGCUGAGGUGCGAAGGCGUGGGUAGCAAACAGGAUUAGAUACCCCGGUAGUC